CCUACGGGCGGCUGCAGUGGGGAAUAUUGCUCAAUGGGGGAAACCCUGAAGCAGCAACGCCGCGUGGGGGAUGAAGGUUUUCGGAUUGUAAACUCCUUUUGUUAGAGAAGAUAAUGACGGUAUCUAACGAAUAAGCACCGGCUAACUCCGUGCCAGCAGCCGCGGUAAUACGGAGGGUGCAAGCGUUACGCGGAAUCACUGGGCGUAAAGGGCGCGUAGGCGGGAUAGCAAGUCAGAUGUGAAAUCCUAGGGCUUAACCAUAGAACUGCAUUUGAAACUGUUAUUCUAGAGUGUGGGAGAGGUAGGCGGAAUUCUCGGUGUAGGGGUAAAAUCCGUAGAGAUCAAGAGGAACA
rnacentral:rRNA from 1 species